CUCCAUUUCUUCAAUACCCUCACUCUUCGGCUAACCCUUAUUUAUAUUCUUGUGCUCAUCUUCCGCACUUCUUUUAUUGAUCCAAGCAGUGGACUCACUCAACUCAAAGCCCUGCGGCUGCACCUUGGCACAAUUUAAUGAGGAGUCCAGUAAGUGAGGGAGAUGAAUCGAUGAAGGCAAACAAGAAUGUGAUGGAAUCUAAGAAAUCCUGCAUAUGUUCUCCAACAAGCCACGCUGGUUCCUUCAGGUGUCACCUUCAUCGAGCCACUGCUGCUCCUACUUUGAGUCAAAACUCACCCAGUUGCUGCAUCGGCACACUGGCCAAUGCUGCUUUCAAGAAGUUAAAUUCCAAGCCACAGGAUGGUCAGGAGGAGCCUAUUCUGUCCAGGUUCGGUAGAGCUUCUUCGUCUUUAAAACUGAAACCCAUUUCAGAAACCAC